rnacentral:rRNA from 1 species
AAAGUCGCGCAGCAAAGGGUGAUAGCCCCGUACACUAAAAUGCACAGGUCGUGAGUUCGAUGAGUAGGGCGGGACACGUGACAUCCUGUCUGAAUAUGGGGGGACCAUCCUCCAAGGCUAAAUACUCCUGACUGACCGAUAGUGAACCAGUACCGUGAGGGAAAGGCGAAAAGAACCCCGGCGAGGGGAGUGAAAUAGAACCUGAAACCGUGUACGUACAAGCAGUGGGAGCACCUUCGUGGUGUGACUGCGUACCUUUUGUAUAAUGGGUCAGCGACUUAUAUUUUGUAGCAAGGUUAACCGUAUAGGGGAGCCGUAGGGAAACCGAGUCUUAACUGGGCGAAUAGUUGCAAGGUAUAGACCCGAAACCCGGUGAUCUAGCCAUGGGCAGGUUGAAGGUUGGGUAACACUAACUGGAGGACCGAACCGACUAAUGUUGAAAAAUUAGCGGAUGACUUGUGGCUGGGGGUGAAAGGCCAAUCAAACCGGGAGAUAGCUGGUUCUCCCCGAAAGCUAUUUAGGUAGCGCCUCGUGAACUCAUCUUCGGGGGUAGAGCACUGUUUCGGCUAGGGGGCCAUCCCGGCUUACCAAACCGAUGCAAACUCCGAAUACCGAAGAAUGUUAUCACGGGAGACACACGGCGGGUGCUAACGUCCGUCGUGAAGAGGGAAACAACCCAGACCGCCAGCUAAGGUCCCAAAGUCAUGGUUAAGUGGGAAACGAUGUGGGAAGGCAUAGACAGCCAGGAUGUUGGCUUAGAAGCAGCCAUCAUUUAAAGAAAGCGUAAUAGCUCACUGGUCGAGUCGGCCUGCGCGGAAGAUGUAACGGGGCUAAACCAUGCACCGAAGCUGCGGCAGCGACGCUUAGGCGUUGUUGGGUAGGGGAGCGUUCUGUAAGCCGUUGAAGGUGGCCUGUGAGGGUUGCUGGAGGUAUCAGAAGUGCGAAUGCUGACAUAAGUAACGAUAAAGCGGGUGAAAAGCCCGCUCGCCGGAAGACCAAGGGUUCCUGUCCAACGUUAAUCGGGGCAGGGUGAGUCGACCCCUAAGGCGAGGCUGAAAAGCGUAGUCGAUGGGAAACAGGUUAAUAUUCCUGUACUUGGUGUUACUGCGAAGGGGGGACGGAGAAGGCUAGGCUAGCCGGGCGACGGUUGUCCCGGUUUAAGCGUGUAGGGGGUGUGACCUGGUAAAUCCGGUUGCAUAUCAACCCUGAGGCGUGAUGACGAUGCACUACGGUGCAGAAGUAGUUGAUGCCCUGCUUCCAGGAAAAGCCUCUAAGCUCUAGGUAACAUUAAAUCGUACCCCAAACCGACACAGGUGGUCAGGUAGAGAAUACCAAGGCGCUUGAGAGAACUCGGGUGAAGGAACUAGGCAAAAUGGUGCCGUAACUUCGGGAGAAGGCACGCUGGCAUGUAGGUGAAGUCCCUUGCGGAUGGAGCUGAAGCCAGUCGAAGAUACCAGCUGGCUGCAACUGUUUAAUAAAAACACAGCACUGUGCAAACACGAAAGUGGACGUAUACGGUGUGACGCCUGCCCGGUGCUGGAAGGUUAAUUGAUGGGGUCAGCCGCAAGGCGAAGCUCUUGAUCGAAGCCCCAGUAAACGGCGGCCGUAACUAUAACGGUCCUAAGGUAGCGAAAUUCCUUGUCGGGUAAGUUCCGACCUGCACGAAUGGCGUAAUGAUGGCCAGGCUGUCUCCACCCGAGACUCAGUGAAAUUGAACUCGCUGUGAAGAUGCAGUGUACCCGCGGCAAGACGGAAAGACCCCGUGAACCUUUACUAUAGCUUGACACUGAACAUUGAGCCUUGAUGUGUAGGAUAGGUGGGAGGCUUUGAAGCGUGGACGCCAGUCUGCGUGGAGCCAUCCUUGAAAUACCACCCUUUAAUGUUUGAUGUUCUAACUCGGCCCCAUAAUCUGGGGUGAGGACAGUGUCUGGUGGGUAGUUUGACUGGGGCGGUCUCCUCCCAAAGAGUAACGGAGGAGCACGAAGGUUAGCUAAUCACGGUCGGACAUCGUGAGGUUAGUGCAAAGGCAUAAGCUAGCUUGACUGCGAGAGUGACGGCUCGAGCAGGUACGAAAGUAGGUCUUAGUGAUCCGGUGGUUCUGAAUGGAAGGGCCAUCGCUCAACGGAUAAAAGGUACUCCGGGGAUAACAGGCUGAUACCGCCCAAGAGUUCAUAUCGACGGCGGUGUUUGGCACCUCGAUGUCGGCUCAUCACAUCCUGGGGCUGAAGUAGGUCCCAAGGGUAUGGCUGUUCGCCAUUUAAAGUGGUACGCGAGCUGGGUUUAGAACGUCGUGAGACAGUUCGGUCCCUAUCUGCCGUGGGCGUUGGAAGAUUGAGAGGGGUUGCUCCUAGUACGAGAGGACCGGAGUGAACGCACCACUGGUGUUCGGGUUGUCAUGCCAAUGGCAUUGCCCGGUAGCUAAGUGCGGAAAAGAUAAGCGCUGAAAGCAUCUAAGCGCGAAACUUGCCUCAAGAUGAGUCUUCCCUGGGCCUUUAAGGUCCCUG